UUAUUUGUUUGUUUCUAGAGAAGGCUUAGCAAAAAAACCAAAUUUUAGCUUUGGAUUUUGAGCAGUGAAGUAGAAUGAAAUAGCUUGAUUGCAAAAAAAAUUUCAACGUAUUUGAAGUGAUUCAUUGCAAUUAAUAGUGAUUCCAGUGAAUAUGUAGUUGGAAAGGAAGAUUAAAAUCUAUAAACAUCUAAAUUAAGGAUUAACGUUGGGAAAUUUCAUUGCAAAUUGAGUUAGGAGCUACAGUUUUGUAUUAUUUUUGACUCAUUCACCUCUGUAUAAUAGCCAAUUAAUUAAAGAUCUAGUAUCAAAACUUGAUAUUAUUAAGAGAGAAUGCUCCUAAUUUUUAACAUAAAAUAAAAGUAACGUGAAGAGAUUCAGUAAAUGAAAUGAAGUUGGAGAAAAUGGGCCUAACAUUUUACGUUGAUAUAAUUACAAGAAUAUGUGUGGUAAUGCGCUUGAUUUAUUUCACAAUAGUAUUAUAGUAUAUACUUCAUAUUAUAUAUUUCAUAUAUUAUAUAUAAUAAAAUUUGUGUGUUACAGCUAUAUAUAGUUAUGUUCAGUUAAGUUUAGUGAAUUAGUAGCCCAUUUUUUGUGCUUAGUCUAUAUUGCCAAAACAAUGAUGAAGUAGUCCUGUGGCACCUAUAUUUGGUGGGAAGGAAUAUGGAGAUUUUAUCUCUGGUCUAUGUCUUAUUUUGUCCAUGAAUCUUGUUAUUAGAUGCACUUCCUUGUGGAUUUUGGUGUGAUCAUCGUUUAAUUCUCCUUUGUCAGUCCAAACCCAGUAUAUUCUGCUUCCCUUUAUCCGCUUUUCAAAAAAUAUGUUAGAAUUUCAUCAGUCCAUUUUUUUUUCCUCUGUAGAUUGAGAAAGCAGAGUUCUCAUGUAAAUCUUGGUUUCCAGUUGCAGCAAAAUCCUUAAUUCAUAGAAUUUUAGACCCCAAUCCUGAAACUAUAAGUACUAGCUCUAUGACAAGACGUUGAUUUUUGUAUGUAACAUUUGUGCAUUCUCUUGGUUGCAUCUGAUAAAUAGGAUUUGUGACAAAUACAAAUGCUCAUGCAAUUUGUUAGGUUCUAAAAGUUUAGAAUAAUUGGCAAAUCGUGAACACAAACUUGUCUAGAUAUAGAUCUUAGAUUCUAUAGGUAUUAUUAAACAAUGCUCAAGGUGAUACAAGUCAAGUUUCAAGAAUAUACAAGCUGCAGAAAGAAGAAUUCAGAAACUACUUGGUUCGACUGAUCGAAACACGUAUCUAUAGAAUUUUAUUUCAGCCCAAACUUUACUUAAACGUAUUGGGUUUCAAGUAAAACACUACUAGUAUAUAAAGGAAACUUUAAGCAUGUUUUUAUAAGGCUUUCCAGAGAGAGAAGAGUGUGACUCUUUUGUAUCUAGGAUUUUGUACCCAAAAAACUCUCUUAUGUCUUCUACCGGUGUUAUUCCUUGAAAAAUCUCAAGAUUCAAUGCUGUAGAAGUUGCUACCUUCUCUAGUCAUCAAAGGUGCUGAUGAUUUAAACCUUUAAGGGUGGUCUUGGAGUCACAAAUAGGAAAGCUUGUGUUUUUGCAAAGGCCAAGGAAAGAAGUAGCCAAUGGACUCGGAGUUAUCAUGUGGUCGUGAUAAUAAGUUUUCUACUCAAGAUCACAAUGAGGUAGGCAAGGGAAUAUUAGAAGCUUAUCCUCAAAAGCAAGUAGUUAAGAAAGUUGACUAACACAAUCAAGGUUAGUUUUUGCUAGAAUGCUAGACUCGUAAUUUAUGUAUAUACCUAAGUUACUUAUUGAAAUUUAUAUAUUUAUUUAUUGUCAAAAAUUUACAAUGAAAAUCAUCUAUCUUUAUAACUGGUAUUUUGUUUACUCUUGUUGCCCUCUAACUUGAGCGUGCCAUUUUUGUUGUAUGUGGCUUCCAUAUUAGCAGCUAAAUUAUGAUUCUUUUUAUUUUAUGUUUCUUACUUAGGAAGAAUUUGUAAUGAAUAGACAUUGUAUAUUAUUUUCUAUGUCAAUCUAUAGUUGCAGAAAUGGCCAAAAAGGGCAAAGACACUCAUAAUAAAAUAACAAAAUAUGAGAUGGAAAGAGCAUAAAGAAUCAAGCAAAACCAAGAGAGAAUGAAUGAUUUGGGAUUGAAGCAUCUGUCAACUUUUCUACCUAAAUUUGCAAAUGUGGGAAGAAAAAGAGUAAGUGUUCAAGUAGAUGACGACGAGUAUGUACCAGUUAUUGAUGAAGAUGAUGGUGAUGAUGAGUCAUCUAGUUCUUUAAAUAAUGAGAUGGCUCGUUAUAGGCGUGAGAAAUCUACCCCAACAGUCCAACAUACUGGCCCAUCAUCGAGCACACAUCUUGGUGUAGAUUCUCUUGCCCAAAUUUCUAUAAAUGUAGAGGUACAACUUGUGGGCACAUCGUCUACCAUAGGUGCAUCAACUAGUAGAUGUGCUCGUGGCAUGAUGCGUGGAUUAGGAGUACGAGGACUUGUUGAGAAACAUGGGAAGCUACUGGUUUGCAUUGCCUCGUAGUUUUGUGAUCCAAGUGGUGAACAUGCAGGGAAGCUUGCUAGCCAAAUUGGUGUACAAGUGUGUAUGAACUUGUCCACUAUGAAAGCUUAUAGUUGGAAGAAUGUUGAUAACAGUGAAAAAGUGGUGAUCAUUCAAAAUGUGUUGGAUCAAUUUGAUCUAUAAGGAGAAUUUGUACUUGUGAACAAAUCUUUAAAUACGAAAUGUAGUAGAUUAUUGAGCAGCCACAACAGCAGGUUGUUUGCCCAAUAUGAAAAACUUGUAAAGGAUAAAGGAAGCAUGUAUGCAAGAAACUACCCACCAAAAAAUGCCACACGAGAAAAAUGGAUUGAAUUAAUUGAUGGAAAGUGGAGUAAUGAAAAUUGGUUGGAAGUCUUAAAAAGAAAUGCUGCAAACAGAAAUGGAAAAGGAAUGGUUAGUAAACACAUUCAUAGAUGUGGAAACAAAUCGUUUGCAGUUAGGGUGGAUAAGGAGAGACGGAAAAAUGGAAGUCAUAUUCUUAACUCGGUACAACUCUACUAUGAUACCUGCUUCAAUUCAAAGACAAAAUAGUGGGUACACCCUGAUUGCGAACAUACAUACAUAUGGGAUUGGUGGCAAAAAGAUAGUCUUUGUGAUACUACCUGAACUCAAAUAAUUUUCUAUAAAGUUUGGAAGACAUCAUUUGUAUAUAAAUGGUUGUAACUAUUUUGUGAACAUCUUUAUUGCAUUUUUAGAUUGUAUAGAUGUGGUUAAAAAUGAA